rnacentral:tRNA from 1 species
GGGGCUCUAGCUCAGUCGGUAGAGCGGCGGAGUGAAAUCCCGUGCGCGGAGGUUCAAUUCCUCCGGGCCCCA